rnacentral:piRNA from 1 species
UAAAAUAAAUGCUUAUAAAGCAAAGGAAC